GGUUCCAGGAAGUGAAGCUGACAAAGCAGGUUUGAAACCCCACGAUAUAAUCAUCGAGGUGAAUGGACAGAACGUUGAGGGGUGUACUUCUGAGGAUUUAAUGUUGAAAGUAAAAGAAGGUGGGCCUCAGCUAACACUGCUUGUCAUUGAUAAAGAAGGAUAUUGUCACUUUAAGGAGGUUAAGAAGGCCAUCACCAUGGAACUGGAGAUGAGAGAAGGAGGAGAGGCCCUGCAGGAGUAUGAAGAGUGAGCUCAAGAUUUUCAGGUUUUCAAGCACAAAUUAAAAAAUUAAUUUGUUCUUGUUUAAGAACACAUAAAGACUGUGCGUGCCAUUUAAGUACCAGCGUUAUAGAGGUGAUGGAUAAUUCAAGGAAUUUUCUUGGAAAUUUCAUGCGAAUGAAGCUGAUCUGCAACACAACCAUCUUUAAAAAUUGUCAGUAUCCUGUGGUUUGGCAUCUGUGCUGCACUGAUCACUGAAACUUUCAUAUAUGUAUGGGUUUAGAUUGACAUGCCAGAACCAAACCUCACCACUGUUAAUCCCUGAAAUGCAGGAAGUCUGAAUCAGAUAAAAUUGUAGAAUUGACAAUGAACUGUGAACCACGUGGAUGAGUACUUUUUUGGCCAUGUAUUACAAAAGAGUUGGGAAACAGUCAGCUGGAUUUCCAAAAACAUAGGAUACUCAUCUGCAUUUAAUAAAUCAACCUAAUUUCAUACUCUUUCUUCCUGUAUACACUUUAAAUAUUGUAAGCUUUUUUUUGGUGGGGGAGGAGGUAUUAUUAUGUGUAUUAGUGGAACUUACAACUUUGAAUAAUUAUUGUCAAUUAAUUUUUAUAUCCACAGUUCACAUCUGGGUGGUAUCUGGAUGACUGAGCAAGAUCUACUACUUUGAGUUCUCAUUUCUUCACGGAUCAGUAACCUACUCCAAGGCUGUGCAAUCUCAGCCAUGCAAUUCAGAGAAUCGGUUAGACUAGGUUAUGUUAACUAAGAGGGUGCAUGGGGCUUGCCCUUCUUAUCACCAGAGGCCAUAAGUGUUCUUAUUCAGGUCCCAGACCGAAUCCAGUAACAGAUUAAUUUUUUUGUAUGAUUAAGCACAUGAGUACAUCCCAUCAAUGGCACUAAACUACUGAUGCCACCUCCUGACAUAAACCUAUUAUGUCUCACCCAGGGUGGGGCAAGGGUGGCAGCUAUCCCAGGUGCAAGAUGUCAGGGAAUGCAAGCUUCAUUACCAGCAUUCUGUUUCUGAAUGCCAGUAAUGCAUUUAUAGAAGCACUUUAACACUCCAGGUGUGGUUUAGUUCAUUAUCGACAUUCAGAAACAAAUGUCAAAAAUGCAUUUUCAAUCAUGGCCAAAGCAUUCAGUGCGCUCCCUGUUAGCUGGUUAGCUGUAGCAAGCAGCAUUUUACACUUGCAGCAAGUGGUUUGUUAAGUUUUAAGGUAGAGAAAGCUUUAUUGGACCUCAAUUUAAAGAGGGACAACAAGAUUAGGGAAUGGCUGUGGGUGCCAGAAUGGCUAUCUACACCUCUGCCUAAAAGAAUAUAUAAACAGUAUGUCUCUGUCUUCACAGGCCUCAUUUGUGUUAUAUGGACCAGCCACCAAUUCUCUUGCCUGUAGCUGUAAACCCAACCUCACCACAUGUGUUCAUCUUCCAUGCAACUACCUGUAUUGCAUAUGGUACAGCCAUGCCUUGAUGAAAGUGUACUGCUAAACCCCACAUCAUGAAGACUAAUGUAAUAUUCCACUGGCUCACCAUCUGUCUCUUCUAGAUUCAUGGAGCUGUUGUGACUUAUAUAACGGAAUUUAAGUGCAAUCUUUUCUGAGCACGGUUGGUAGGAAUAAUCUGGCAUUGUAAGGAGAGAUGGAACACAUUUCUGGUGGUGUGUUUCCAUAGCCCUGAGGUUACAUUGUUCACCUCAAUCUGAAGUUACAUUGUUCACCUCAAUCAGAUAACACCAAUGACAGCAGGAGAUUCUUCAGCUCUAGUAUGUUAUUUUCCCAUGGUGUAAACACUGGGGCCUCUUGCUGGACCCAGUGUAUGAGUGGGCACUGUGAGGAACUUCAAGAGUGUGAUCUAAACUUUAUCUUACUGCAGCACAGAUUAUCAGGGUCUUAACACAGACCUUGGCCUACCAUUUGGCAAGUUUGCUUGUCUGCUGGCCCCUUCACUUGAUCAUCAAACAGUAGCUCUGACCUUUAACACACAGGCAUGUGAGAUCCCAAGGCCCCACAUGAACCUCCCCUGUCAGACGUCUGAAUAAAUUCAUGGCAGCCCAUGUCACAGCCUGUUUAUCUUCUUUUGGCUAUAGCCUUUUCAUCCCUUAUAUCCAUUAUUAUUUUCAAUCAAGCAGUAACACUGUUUCUAAACCAGGAUCACCUUGUAGUUAAUGUUGCUACCUUCCAGCUGCACUUUCCUUUGGGAACAAACACCAGGGUUUCAUUUAGUUUCCAGUCCUGAAAUCCCACUCUCUCCCUUCAGGGUGGUUUGCCCCUUUAAAGUAGAUUCUACCUUGAAAACACUGAGUGUUUGCUGAAACUCAGCCAUCUGGUAUUUCCUUGCUCUGAGGUCUGUUGAGGUGGAAUUUAUGACCAACAUAAAAGAAUAGCAAAUGACCUUCUGCCCAUUCAGUGGCCAUCCAUGGCAUUCUCAUAUUUCCUCUGAGAAUGCUUUGUGCAAAUGAAAAAUAGAAAGCUAGGUGCAGUGAUUUGUCCAGUGAUCUCCACAGUGUUCCACCCAAAUGUUACCUCUGGUUUCCUAACUGAUACCAUUGUACAGCAUUAUGCAGAACUUUCUUCCCAGAGUUACAGCCAUACGUUGUUUAACCACCAGAUAUUCCAGCUUUUACUGAUGCAUUACUUGUUUUCAUAUUGCAACCUCUUUAACUGGAUCUUCCUGUAUCAGUUUCUGCUAAGUAUUAUACCCUGAAACAUUCCAGUCUCCACUUCAGCAGCUGUAGUCUGAAAUACUGCUCAUUCAAACACCAGCUGCACACUGAUAUACUGGUCUGGUCAGUACUGCAUCAGCUGAACUCUAAUAUACUGACUACUAAUGCAACAUUUGUACCCUAAUAUACUGUCAUCAUUACAUCAGAUGUAACUUGAGCUAUACGUCGCUAAUGCAAAAGCUGCACCUCCUUAUACUGAAUUGUUCUACAGUGGCUAUACCCUAAACUGCAAUGGUUUCUAGUGCACUAUCUGCACCUAGAUAUACUAUUUUCUUAUUACAGCAAAUGUACCUUGAUAUACAGAUGUCUAAUGUACAAGCUGAACCCCAGUAUAUUGAUUUAGUGGUUCUAAUGUAACAGCAGUAUCAUGAUAAAAUGGUGUCCAAUGUAUCAGCUGUACCCAGCAUACUGACUGGUACUGGACCAGCUGUACACUGAUAAUGUGAUCUCUAAUGCUCCAACUACACUCCAGAAUCUGGCUGUUCUUUCAAUGGCUACUGCAUCAGCUUCAUUCUGAAAUUUUGCUGCAUCUUCUGUAUGGUACCAGUACUGUAGCAUUCAGGGCUCUGCUGCAUCUCCUGUCUAGCACCACCACUGUGAUGUCCAGGUUUUUCCUGCAUCUCCUGCCCAGUAUCUGUACUAUGCCAUUCAUUUAUUCCCUGCAUCUCCUUCUCAGUAUCAGCACUGCAGUGAGAAAUGCCCAAGUCCCAUGUGAAUUCCAGCUUCCCAGAAAGAUGAAUACAUUCAUGGUAGCACCUUCUGCAGCCUAAAAUUGCCAUCUGCUGCACCUUUUGUCACUUACAUUCUGGUGUCUGCUACAUCUGCUAUAGGAGCUGCUGCCCGAUAGGCUGGUCCCUACUGUACCAGCUGUGCUCCGAUACACCAGACGCUGCUGUAUCAUGCAUCUUCUAGGUGUGACGGUCUCUAUUGCUCUAAGCUUUACUUGCGUGACAAACUGGCCUGCCUCAGGGUUUAAAAGCAUAAGACAGAUGAUUCCCAAGAAAUUAGAGCACAUCAAGUUGCAGUAGCAUUUUUCAAACAACAUUUUCUAGAUGUAAACAUGAGCUCACCCUAUACAGUGCUUGUUUGUUUUGGAUGAGGGAGCUGUAGCCACUGUCAAAAAUCAGCUCAAAUAACUGACUUACAAUAUGAUUUAGACUAGAUUAAUAAGUUAUAUGUAGAAAACCUGGGUGUGAUUCCAACAGCCUUCACUUGGGUACUGUGUUACUAAGUAAAUCCUUAAAAUAACCAGUGUUCCAGGUCACCUUUGAAUACUGGUAACUGUAGCUAAUAGGUCUUACUUGGUUCCUAAAAGGCAUAAAAUAAAUGAAGGAAAUGAAAAUUAAAAUAAUACAUGCUAUCUUUUUUGGAAUAUAUAAUAUUGCAAACAUUUAAACUGUAAAUCUUAAAAGAAAUUGUCAAGACUGUCAUGCAAUAAAGUUUAAUAGUGUGAUACUAUUAUGAAAACGGAAA